ensembl:lincRNA
CAGAGCUUAGAAUACUAGCAUAAAAAGAAUAUAGGGAAGAAAUAAACAAAUUUGUCACAAAGAACCAUAGAGAGCCAGGGAAUUCAGCAAAAACAUUGGUAUAGAAAUGGAGGACAGGAAUGAAAUGUGGGGCUGAAAACAGAAGGAAUAAUUUAUUUACAAAGUGUGAUAGAUGUCAUGGCUCUCACUCAUAUUUUUUGUUUUAUUUCUUCUCAGUACAAGGUUCUUCUGACAUCCUGAGAAGUACCAGAGCACUCCAGACCUUGGAGGAAUGAAUAUUCAUGACUGGACAGAGGGCAUGGCUGAUGUUAUAGGAAAGUCUCAACAAAGGACAUUGACCUUUGAACUUGAGGAGUAUCCUUCCCUGUCAUCUUCUUUCCAUCAAAUUCCUAACAUUCUUCAAGGGCUAUUAGAAAUGGAUGCCUGCUUACCUAUCGCAUGUCAUAGAGUUGUGUGGCAAAGAUCAUGGUUUUUACAGUGGAAUGUCAACAGAAGUGAGGUAUUUUCUUUCUGGGCCAAGGUGGUCAGGAAUAAGUGUGCCUUCUCUGCUUUUUUUCCUCUUUUAUUAUCUACAGACAGACAAGCAUGAUGAUCUUGGAAACUUUAUGUUGAAGAUGGGGAACCGACAGGAUGAAAGGAUUCUGAGUUUCUGUAUCACACUUUUGAGGAGAGCCAAAAUAAACAUCAAAGCUUCUCAGUGUGCACGGAUAUUUCUACUGUGGAUCCUCAUAAAGGCAACACCCUGGAAUACGGCGGGCACCAUCUUCAACAACUUCAUUGUAGAUACCACAGAACAUUUCAUCUGAUUGUUUCACUGAGAUACCACAGUUCAGUGUGUAUAAAGAUCAUCGUUGAGCCAAUCAACAAAAUUUGAAUUCAGGCUGUAGAUGAAAAGUACUGGAUCGAAGUUAAACUAACUAAAGUUAAUAGCUAUUCUGUGGUUACAUAAGAGGCUAUUUUUAUCCUGAUGAAAUAUACACUGAAAUAUUUAGAAGUAAAGGGACAUAGUGUAUGCAGCCUAGUUUCAUGUAGUUCAGGGGGAAAGGAGAGGAGGAUAGAGAGAAAAUUUUAAAGCAAAUAGGGCUAUAUGUUAUCAACAGGUAAAUCUGGGUAAAGGGUAUUUGAGUAUUCAAUAUACUAUAUUCUUAUUCUUGCAAUGUUUCUACAAGUUUGAAAUUAUUUCCAACUAAAAUACCUUUUUUAAAAAAGGAAUAAUUUUUAUUAGAAUUUAAAUGCAAAAUUUAUUUAAAAAGAAGUACAUGCAAUAGUGCAUGUUAGAAAGUUACAGGAGUAAUAAACACCAUUUUGAUUUGUGAGUGAAAAUUUUUUUCUUUUUAAAUGUGUUCGAUUAAUUUAUUCAAGAUUAUACUAUAUAUAUCGAAAUAUAAAAUACCUGUAAAAAUUCACCAUUG